rnacentral:rRNA from 1 species
UAGGGAAUCUUCGGCAAUGGACGAAAGUCUGACCGAGCAACGCCGCGUGAGUGAAGAAGGUUUUCGGAUCGUAAAACUCUGUUGUUAGAGAAGAACAAGGACGUUAGUAACUGAACGUCCCCUGACGGUAUCUAACCAGAAAGCCACGGCUAACUACGUGCCAGCAGCCGCGGUAAUACGUAGGUGGCAAGCGUUGUCCGGAUUUAUUGGGCGUAAAGCGAGCGCAGGCGGUUUCUUAAGUCUGAUGUGAAAGCCCCCGGCUCAACCGGGGAGGGUCAUUGGAAACUGGGAGACUUGAGUGCAGAAGAGGAGAGUGGAAUUCCAUGUGUAGCGGUGAAAUGCGUAGAUAUAUGGAGGAACACCAGUGGCCAAGGCGGCUCUCUGGUCUGUAACUGACGCUGAGGCUCGAAAGCGUGGGGAGCAAACAGG